AUUGAACGCUGGCGGCAGGCCUAACACAUGCAAGUCGAGCGAGCGGCGGACGGGUGAGUAAUGUCUGGGAAACUGCCUGAUGUAGGGGGAUAACUACUGGAAACGGUAGCUAAUACCGCAUACCAUCCUGUAUGCCCAGAUGGGAUUAUCUAGUAGGUGGGGUAACGGCUCACCUAGCCGACGAUCCCUAGCUGGUCUUAGAGUAUGACCAGCCACAUUGUCAAGGAGACACGGUCCAGAAUACUACGGGAGGCAGCAGUGGGGAAUAUUGCACAAUUGGCGCAAGCCUGAUGAAGCCAUGCCGCGUGUGUGAAGAAGGCCUUCGGGUUGUAAAGCACUUUGGGCGGGUAGGCGUUAUCUGCAGAAGGAGCACGGGCUAACUACGUGCCAGCAGCCGAGGUAAUAC
rnacentral:rRNA from 1 species